CCACAGCUCUGAUGGCUUUCUUGAGCUAGACUCCCAGAGUUGGGGGUCACUUGUUAGACUACCAUUUUUGGGACGAGGAUUUCCCUAAGUGUCCUCUCUCCCCAUUUCUCAGUUGGACCCACACCCAUCUGCGGGUAGUGCAUCCUAUUUGCCUAGGAGUUUUCUACAAGCUGCUUUUCUUCCCCUCUCCCUCCUUAGCCUCCAUGGCUCUUGAUGGCUUUCUCUGGCAUCAUUACAACGCCUCGUCAUUUAGCCACAGAAGGAGACGUACCGUACCUCCAAGUACAAGUCUGACUCAAACAGCUACUUCUGAAGUUUUAUUGUUUUUCAACCGAAGCUGUUGACAGACAGCCCGUGGCAUUAGAACGAGAGGAUUAUGUGGAAUAUAAAAGUGACUCUAAAAGUUACGCGGCGGAUUUUGUUUCAAACAAACCCCUGGCGCGAUAAUGUAAAAAGCAUUGUCCUCGCCAAGGAGCCACUCUAGGUGGUUGAACACUUCUUCUAGAAAUGUGUCAUCACUCAGGAUGUUCUCAGGCCUCCUCUCUUGAAACUGCUGUCAGAGUCUUUUGAAUAGCCUCAAGGAAGAAAAAAAAAGCUUAAUGCUUUGAGGAAGAAUUGGAUCCCUUGAGCCCUUCAGUGGUAUUCAGAGGAAAGUCCGAGUGGACGUGGGGUAGGUGAGCAGAUGGGCAAGGUUAAUGAAAGUAGAACACCCGAUGUGCCGUUAUCAAGCAAUAAGGCGGAUUGUUUGGGUGGCUAGUAAGUAGCACAGUAUAUGAAGACAAUUCUCCAAGAGAAAAGAAUUAUAUUUUAAGCCACAGCAGCAUCCUUGGGACAUACGGAUCAGCCAUGCUGUCACCAGGUGGAGGCACGAUAUAUACUCCCAGGUCAUUUUUAACACAUUUUCACUGUGACCGACAAUGUUGUGAUGAACACAUCCAUGUCUCUGUGAUGUACACAGCCGUGGUAAAAAAGCCUACGGAUAAUUGACUGCUUCUUACUGACCAGGUGAGGAAGCCAAGGCACAGAGAGGUUGAGGACUUCUUGCAAAGUUGCCCAGCGGAGACUACAGACAGUAUGAAUCCAGAGGUUGAACAACAGCCAUACACUGUACUACUUCUCUUAACCUGUGUUAUUUUGGCGAUUUUCCUAAGCUCACAUCCCUAGAAGGAAACUCCCAAGGUCAAAGGGCUUGAUUUAUUUUAAAGCUCAUGAUGAGAAUUGCCAGGUUAUUUUCCAGAAUCAGUGUGUACUUCCACCGGCAGAGAGUACAAGGGUUUAUUUCACCGGAGUCCAAGUCUUUAAAACCAUGAUACGGAACCAGUAAUCUGUCUCUUUGUCUUCCAUCAUGUGUCACGAACAUCGGUUGCUCUUAAGCAGAAGGCUUUCUUUUUUGUUUUUGGUUUUUUUUUUAAUUAACAGCACGAUUAUCUCCGGAUCAUCUUGUAAGUGUUGACUGAACUGUGCCACCUCAUUUCGAAGAAGAAUUUUUCGUUUGUGGAAUGAAUGCGUGAAUGAGGGCAGGGAGGUUGAGCUUGCACCUGCCACUCCGUGUUGGGAGCUGUGUGAGUGGAGCAGGACACAUCGUUCGGGACUGAAGACUGAACACAGCUUCCUAAACGCACGACUUCGGAUUCUGUCCACCCUGGGAAUGGCUUUAGAGCCAGCUCGCGGCAAACGCCCAGCAGCGGCUCGCUGGAGGAAAGGCCGUGAACUUUGUACUGAGGGGAGCUUUGGAAUUUUAGAGGAGCGGGUUGGCUGCUGCGGAGAAAAAUGCCUUCUGCACCGGAAAGAGAGCACACUCUGAGCCAGGCGUCCUUCGCCCACCCCAAACCUAUCUUGAUCUUAAGAUCCUGCCCCUGAUCGGAUCUUCUCCAAACUGGAGAAAGAGAACAUUGAGGAAUCCUCCAAAGGGAAAUCCUCUGAAGGGCAAUAGGAGUUGCCUGUGGAGAGGAUUUCUAGAGACUGUGGGAAGACGAUGUGCGGCUGCUGGUGACGACCGUGGAGGUGGUGCUGGUGGCUGAGGUGGUGGUGACGAGGAGGAGGCUGCUAGCGGACACGUGGAGAGCUGACUGGCUGAGCAUCGGACACCCGUUCUCAAGCAGCAAGAUUCUUACUCUCACUUCACAGAGGGAGUAAAAUGGCCCCUUCAUCCAUUCAGCCACUGAGACUUUGGCUUCUAUCAAAUCCCCCACUUUCUAGCAAUUUGUACCAUAGUGCUGCUAUCUUAUAAAUUUUCUCAUACCCCAAAAUUGACUGAAAACAUAAAAAUGCUUUGUGGAGAAGUACUUUUGGUAAUGGGCCAACCACUGGCUGACAGAUGAUUGUAUCAUCCCAUUCAAGAGACCAGUUUAUCUUCCGAAGAUAUUCCCUUGGUCAUGUUGAGCGAAGCUUCCAAGGACUGUCCAUUCUCCACAGGAUAGAGGCCAAAUUCCUCUGCCUCGACCUCACACACUAGGUCACUCUGUGUGUCCCUCUUGGGUUUGGGGCCUCACCGAGCCCCUGCUUGCUGCUGCACUUGGGGACUGUCUUGUGAAGGCUGUUGUUUAUUCCUUUAAAAAAGUGCCACCACCACAUCUUUUCUGGAGAAAAGCUUGGGUUUAUUACUACAACACAAUGAACUAAAGACUGCACCAGACCUCAUUUUGGCAACACACCCACUUACACACUGAAUGGAUUGAGAAAGGACUGGCAGAGAUCCUGGCACAAAGAUAACCCGUUUUUUAGAAGUUCCAUUUCUGGGAGUAGUAGCUCCGUGAAGAAGUUGAGGAUGGUUAGCUCUGUUGAAGGGACGGCAUUUGUACGUGAGGAAACUUGCUAAAACGUCCAUCCGGAGACAAGUCUUCUACUGUAGUCAACUUUUCUUGAUAAAUGACUGCCCUCAAACUUAGAACUUUUUUUGUAAUAUAUACCUAUCUUUAUAUAUAUAUAUAUAUUCAUGUAUUAUUACAUACUACGUAUCUAAAAAUAUCUCUCUGUAUUUUACCUCUCUAUACAGGUACACAAGUGAGUGGGUGGGCUGCGAAGCUCAGUGGGGGAAGGGGGUUACAGGAGAUGCAUAAGGAGAGUUGAGGUAGAAAACAUGAAGGAAGUAAUGUCUUCUCGUAUAGAACAGGCACUCACCUUACAGGGGAUAAGGCUAAGACGAGGUGUUCUAGAGCUCAGCGUUGGCCACAAUCAGGA